rnacentral:rRNA from 1 species
GACGAACGCUGGCGGCGUGCCUAAUACAUGCAAGUUGAGCGCUGAAGGUUGGUACUUGUACCAACUGGAUGAGCAGCGAACGGGUGAGUAACGCGUGGGGAAUCUGCCUUUGAGCGGGGGACAACAUUUGGAAACGAAUGCUAAUACCGCAUAAAAACUUUAAACACAAGUUUUAAGUUUGAAAGAUGCAAUUGCAUCACUCAAAGAUGAUCCCGCGUUGUAUUAGCUAGUUGGUGAGGUAAAGGCUCACCAAGGCGAUGAUACAUAGCCGACCUGAGAGGGUGAUCGGCCACAUUGGGACUGAGGCACGGCCCAAACUCCUACGGGAGGCAGCAGUAGGGAAUCUUCGGCAAUGGACGAAAGGCUGACCGAGCAACGCCGCGGGAGUGAAGAAGGGUUUCGGAUCGGAAAACUCUGUUGGUAGAGAAGAACGUUGGUGAGAGUGGAAAGCUCAUCAAGUGACGGUAACUACCCAGAAAGGGACGGCUAACUACGUG